rnacentral:rRNA from 1 species
GAUGAACGCUGGCGGAGUGCCUAACACAUGCAAGUCGAGCGGCAGCGCGAGUAGUUUACUACUUGGCGGCGAGCGGCGGACGGCUGAGUAACGCGUGGGAACAUGCCCCCAAAGUGAGGAAUAACUGCCCGAAAGGGUAGCUAAUGCCGCAUACGAUCUUCGGAUUAAAGGAUUUAUCCGCUUUGGGAGUGGCCUGCGUACGAUUAGAUAGUUGGUGAGGUAAUGGCUCACCAAGUCUACGAUCGUUAACUGGUUUGAGAGGAUGAUCAGUCAGACUGGAACUGAGACACGGUCCAGACUCCUACGGGAGGCAGCAGUGAGGAAUCUUCCACAAUGGACGAAAGUCUGAUGGAGCAACUCCGCGUGCAGGAUGAAGGCCUUCGGGUCGUAAACUGCUUUAUGAGUGAAGAAUAUGACGGUAACU